rnacentral:tRNA from 1 species
GGAGGGGUGGCAGAGUCCGGUUGAUUGCACUGGUCUUGAAAACCAGCGAAGGUGAAAACCUUCCGGGGGUUCAAAUCCCUCUCCCUCCGCCA